rnacentral:precursor_RNA from 12 species
GGACAUGAAUGGUCCUGGAGGGUGCACCCAUACCGAUGAGCUCACAGAUCUAUUAUGCCAUGCUUUAAAGAUCUAUGAUUUCGUCGGUGUGAGUAUUCCUUCUACCAUCACCGGUUACGGC